GACGAACGCUGGCGGCGUGCUUAACACAUGCAAGUCGUACGGGAAGGCCCUUUCGGGGGUACAUGCGUGGCGGACGGGUGAGUAACUAAUAAGUAAUUUGCCUACCAUUUUGGGAGAACGCCAGGAAACUGAUGCUAAUAAUGGCUAUGUACUCCUGCUUACUGGUGGGGGUUGGAAAGCACUGGCGGUUGUGGAUGGAAUAGCGGCCUAUCAGCUUGUUGGUGGGGUGGUGGCUUACCAAGGAGGCGACGGGCAGCCGGCCUGAGUGGGUGACCGGCCACAUUGGGACCGAGAAACGGCCCAGACUCCCACCGGAAGCAGCAGUGGGGAAUAUUGCACAAAUGGCGCAAGGCUGGAGCAGCAACGCCGCGGUCCGGAAGACCGGCUUCGGGUUGUAAACCGCUUUCAGCAUGUACAGAGGCUUUUGUGACGGUACCUUCAGAAGAAGCACCGGCUAACUACGUG
rnacentral:rRNA from 1 species